UACGUAGGUGGCAAGCGUUGUCCGGAAUUAUUGGGCGUAAAGCGCGCGCAGGUGGUUUCUUAAGUCUGAUGUGAAAGCCCACGGCUCAACCGUGGAGGGUCAUUGGAAACUGGGGGGACUUGAGUGCAGGAGAGAAGAGUGGAAUUCCACGUGUAGCGGUGAAAUGCGUAGAGAUGUGGAGGAACACCAGUGGCGAAGGCGACUCUUUGGCCUGUAACUGACGCUGAGGCGCGAAAGCGUGGGGAGCAAACAGG
rnacentral:rRNA from 1 species